rnacentral:lncRNA from 1 species
GGCUGAAUAUUUCCCAUCUUAAUCAUCGAGUUCGCAAAGUCCUCGUAGAAAUCUUCGGUAUCGUCGCUGUACUCUUUUUUGCCUGUUUUGAGAUGGAAUUGGAUUUUUCCUUCGAUGAUGCAUGGCAGAUGAUUUAUAAUUACUCUUCUCGUAUAACAUGUUUUUUGACCUUUCAAAAUAUACUAACAUGUUUUUUUUUUUUUAUAUAUAUAUAUAAAAAGGUACUAUGCCACAUUUAACUCAUAUUGUCAAAUAAUCUAAGUUAACAAUUAUUAUUGUUGACUUAAUCUUAGUUUCUCAAAUUAGAGGUCCUGUUUUUAUUUAGUCCUCCAAAAUUUUUUAGUCUAUCAAAUUAGAAAAAAAUUGUUUAUUUAGUCCCUUCUCUCACAUAAAAAUUUAUAUUUUUUAACUCCUUAAAAUUUGACCAAGGAAUUAAAAGAAGCUUUUUUUAAAGUUAAGAUGUUAAAAAACUAUAAAUUUUCAUUUGAAGGGCUAGAAAAACAGACUCUGUAAUUUGAGGACCUAAAAUAUAAUCAAACGUAUUUUAUCAUUACUUGAUUAGAAGCUAUUGUUUAUUUUUUAAAAAUUCAAUGAAAUAGUGUUAUUAAAAUUGAACCAGAUCAUACGUCUGAAUCGAUUCAACCAGAAAUUGGAUACAUGAUUGAUCCAAUCAAGGUUGGAUUGGAUGUGUCUUCAUUAAACCUGCGGUGAUAUCAUUGAAGGUACUUAUUAAAAGUACCUGAGAAACUGCACCAAUAGAAAUUUAAUUAGAAAAUCAAGAAAAGGUAUUUUCAUGUUACUAGUAGUACAUAUCAUUAUUGUGAUGUUUAUUUUUAUUGUUGUUAUUAUUCUUGUUAUCAUUAUAAUUAUCAUUGUUAUUAUUAUUAUUACUACAUAAUUUCUUGACACUAGGCUUUCUAUAAAAUUUAAAUGAUUUUAUAAAAUAAAACAAAAACAUGACAUUAAGGUAAUCAUAUUUUCAAACAUUAAUUGAUUCUCUUUGUUUUCAUAUAGGUGACUUUAAUAUGAUAAAUUUUCAUCUUGAAUAAAUAAAAAAAAGUUUCAAAAAAGUGUCCCGACAUUAAAAAUGACAAUUAUUUUGAAAGAACAAAUGUGCAUGUGAGUAGUUAAACAAGAUAAAUGACCAUUUAAGGACGAUUCUUAUAUUUUAGGCUUCAAUUAAUUAUGAUAUAGUUUUAUGGUAAUUUAUACUGAUAUUUAAUACGUUUUUUUUUACAUAAAUCAUAAAUGUAAAAUUAAUUUUGAUUAGAGAAUAACUCUAUAUAUGUUAUUUUUAUUGUUUUACAUUCGAAUUGGAUUAUUAUUUUUUAUAUUUAUUGUUUUAAUAUUAUUCACAACAUGCGCUAGCUCUGGAUAUCUGAGUUAAAUAGUAUAAUAAAAAAUUGAGUUUUAACGUAAAUCAACUUGUUUUUGAAUCCAAGAAGGUGUUAAAUGUAUCAACAAGGAUACAACGGAGGUUUUUAUGGAGUGAUUUGGGGGAGUCAAAUAAAAUUUGUUGGGUCAAUUGGGAAUCUGGAUACCUCCCAAAGUCAUAAGGGGACUUGGGAGCAAAGAACCUGUAGGCAUUCAAUAUGGAGCAGUUUUGGAAGGUUAGACGGGUGAGGGAUUUCAAUCUAGAAACAAUUUUUGUAAGAUUAUAUCAAAUUGCAAAUAAUACAGACUGUUUGAUGGCUGAUAUGGUUGGCAAUGGGUUUGGUAUUGGAGGUGACGUGUUUGGAGUCUAGUCGAUCCAAAGGUAAAGUAAUUCAAUCUUACGUCUAUUCAACCAAAAAAAAUUUAUAAUUGAUUUUUACAAAGUAAAAAAAGCAACAUAUAAUUCCUUCUUUUAAAGUAUUUUUUUCUUUAAAUUUAUCUUAGGUCCUCUGAUAGGAGCAGAGGGGAAAUUAGCAAGAAAAUACCUUGAAUUUGAGGACAAGGAGCCUCUCCUACUGUAAAGGUAAAGACUGAAAUUCACGUUUUGUGUUUAUUUCAUCACCAAAAUGCUGCUUAUAUAAGCAUGGGUAGUGAUCAGUCUUAAUACAGAAAUCCAAUACUAACUGAAUUUCCGCUACUAACAGAAUUCACCACUACUAACAAUAUUCCUUUUAACAGAUUUUGGCAUUUAGCUAAGCAGAACAACUAUAUUCUUGAUAAUUAUCACCCCUGAGUGUUAUUCGUAGUCUGUAAGAUAUGCAGGUCGAUUUGUGCUUCUUUUAGGCCUUCCUUCUUGGGCCUUUGUUGCAGCAGAGUCAUCUUGGUUGGGUUCAUGUAUGCUAGUUUGUUGAUUGCUAUUAAUACCACCCCCUGAAAAAUUCACCUUGUCCUCAAGGUGAAACUUGUCGCAUACCUUCUGCCAUGUUUCCUAUGAAGCAUCCUCUGGUGGUAGGCCCUGCCACUAGAUUAUAACCAUUUUUGUUGGAGGAGAGGUUGAGGUAUCCAUCUUUUGAGAGAGGAUGGCGAGGGGUUCUAGGAUUGGAUUGUUGUUGAUAGCAUGUGGAGGGAGCGCAUUGGAAUUCGUAAGCAAAGGACCGUAGUGUGGUCAAAGCAAGGAAGAGUGUAAAACAAGAUGUAUUUUGGAGUUUUCCGGUAAGCAAAGACGAUAUGCCACUUUACCAAUAGGCUCUGUGAUUUCAAACGGCCCAAAAAAAUUGGUUUGACAAUUUAUGAUGCAAGGUCGAAGUUUCACAUGUACCCAUUGACCCACUUCGAAGUUAUUAGAGCGUCGUUUUGCAUAAGCAAAGUGCUUCAUUUCUUUCUGUGCUCGCAGAAGUCGUCGUUUCAGUUUCUCAUGAAUCAUUGUUCUGGUGGUGAGCUUGGAGUCAACAACUUCGUUGGUGGAAGUGCCAAGAACAUACUCCAGUAUGGACGAUGGCGGUUUGCCGUAGACUAUCUCGUAUGGGGUCAUUCCGGUGCUGGAGUGGAUUGAUGUGUUGUAUGACCAUUCGGCAAGAUGGUGAAACUUGUGUCAUUCAGUAGGGCAAUUGUGAACAAUGGUUAUUAAAUACUGUUCGAGUAUGUGAUUCAUCACUUUGGUCUAUCCAUCGAACUGUGGAUGAUAUGUGGUGCUCAUUCUAAGAGUCAUGCCAUUGAGUUUAAAUAAUUCUUUCCAGAAAUGGCUCACGAUUAUAGGGUCACGGUCGGAGACUAUACUGUAAGGGAAUCCAUGGUGCUUAUAGACCAUUUUGAGAAAUAGAGAGGCUGCUCUGAAGGCUGUAAAGUGCAAGUGAAAAGUGCCAAUAUAUACGGCUUUAGAGAAACGGUCCACAACCAUCAUGACCACUAUGUAACCUUGAGAGCAGGGAAGGUGGGUGAUCAAAUCCAUUGAGAGGUCCUCCCAGAUGCUCGAAGGUAGUGGUAGGGGCUGCAAUAAUCUAGUAGCUUUGCGAGUCACGUAUGAAGCUAGCUUUAAUGUGAUGUAUCGUCUUGGCUAUGCCUAAGCUAAAUGACCUCCCAACGGCGUAGCAUGGAACUCAGUCAACAAAACAGGGAUGAGCAAAUUGUCAUGAUUCAACCAAAUACUACCUUGGUAUAGAAUUAGACCAUCAGACAACUGGUAUCCAGGGUGGGCGUCUGGAUUGGCCAAUAAUUGCGCCAACUUUUCAUGGAAAAUGGGACUGUCCUGCAAUGAUUGUCGGAGUUCACUCUGUGGGCCUCUGUGGGUUUGUCCACUCGAGAUAGAGAGUCAUCGACGAUAUUCGAGGAGCUACUCUUGUAUUGAAUCUCGUAGUCAUAGCCCAACAACUUGGCCAGAUAAUAUUGUUGCUCUGGUGUUUGGAUGACCUGAGUCAUAUGGUCCUUUAGACUUUCGUGAUCAGUUCGUAUGACGAAUUUGUGGCCCAAUAGUUAUUGACGCCAUUUGCAGAUGGUUGUCAUCAUGGUGUGUAACCCGCAAACAUAUGUGGAGGAUCUCUACAAUUUCGUUGUGAAUUGCUUGCUAAAGAAGGCAAUGGGCCUCCCCUAUUGCAUAAGAAUUGCUCCCAUUGUGGUGCCGGAAGCAUCUGUCUCCAGAAUGAAAGGGACCAAGAAGUCAGGAGCAGUUAAGACCGGUGCUUGGGUCAUGACAAUUUUCAACUGAAUGAAAGCAGCUCGUGCUUCCGACGACUAAUGAAAUUUUUCGCGGCAGAGAAGGGUAGUGAGAGGUGUUGUGAUACCAGCAUAUCCUCAAAUGAAGCGUCGAUAAAAGCCAGUAAGGCCUAGGAAAGCUUUGAGGUCCUUUUGUGAUUCAGGUGAUGACCACUAUAUCAUGGCGACAAUCUUUGAUGGAUUAGGUUCGAUGCCUUUGUUGGAAAUGAUAUGACCCAAAUAUUCCAAUUUGUGUUGGGCGAAAAGACACUUAGAGCACUUAAGAAAGAAUUUACCCUACAGCAAUAUGCUGUAGACGAGUAUGUCGUUAAAGAAGACUACUGCAAACUGGCAUAAAAAUGGUUGAAGGACUGCGUUCAUGGUGGUCUGAAAGGUUGAAGGAGUGUUGCUCAAACCAAAAGGCAUGAUGUGAUACUCAUAAUGCCCAUGGUGUGUUCGAAACACAGUUUUGGCGAUAUCCUCUUUCACCAUGAGGAUUUGAUGGAAGCCCUGACAGAAGUCCAAUUUUGUAAACCAGGAGGCUUUGCCAAGAUCGUCCAAUAAUUCAUCAAUUGUCAGCAUUGGAAAACGGUCUAGGAUGGUAGCGACAUUGAGAGUACAUUAGUCAAUGAACAUGCGCUAACAUCCAUCUUUCUUCUUCACCAGAAGCACUGGUGAGGAGAAUAGGCUAUGAUUGAUGUGUAUCAUACCAGAUUGAAGAAGCUCUAAAACCUGCUUUUCUAUUUCUAAUUUUUGGAAAUAUGGGUACCUAUAUGGGCGAACAUUGAUGGGGCAAUUGAUGGUUGAAGGUUUAUGUGGUGGACUAUUUGUCGGGGUGGGGAAAGGUUUGUGGGUGUGAGGAAGAUGAGCGUAAAUCUAGAAAUCAAAGCUUGGAUUUCAGGUAUAGGGCAGAGUGGGUAGGAAGACUAGUUUGGGUUGGGUGAGGGUAGGAGGGUCUAGUGAAAGAAUGAUGUGGUGGCUUUGGUGUGGAGCAGUCUGCGAAUUUGUUUUGGUGAUAAGUGCACAGGCCCAAAAUCAACAUCAACGCUAAGUUCCACAAAAUGGCCCAGGUGGUGAAACUUCAUGGAAAGAGUGGUGUAGUCGGUAACUACGGAGCCCAAUUGCUUCAGCCAAUCAAUGCCCAACAUGACGUCAACCCAAUAGGUAAAACAUGGAGUGUCACUAUGAAAGAGUGAUUUUGCAGGAGUAAUUCAAUCGCAGCGCAUUGGUGACGGGAUUCCAAAAUGGACUCGUUACCUACCAUGACACGUAAGGAUGCAAUUUCCCUUGUGGGUAAGGCCAAGAACUUCACCACGCGAGGCUGUAUGAAGUUGUAGGUACUACCACUGUCAAUGAGUACCGUGAGGCGAGUUUGUUGGAGGAAAUCGUAGAGACGAAAGGUGUUAGAGGUGGAUAACCCAGAAAUGGCAUUGAGGAUGAUAUGUGGAAGGGGUUGAAACAAGGAGGUUGGUAAGUUAGGGUCUGGUGGUUGUGGCCCAGGGUGUCGGGUGGGUCGACGGGUUCGUUGGAAUCCGCGAUUAGAAAAAAUAUGCGACCUUGGCAUUUAUGGGUGGAACUCCAUUUUUCGUCCCAAUUAUAGUAGAAUCCUUUCUCAUGUUGUAGGGCCAUUUCCUCUGGUGUGUGGCGAACGAAGGUGUGGGAAGGAUUGGGGUUGGGGUUGGGGUUGGUGACUGGGGAAAAUGAUGGGUUAGUGUGGUGGCUGGGUGGUGGUUUAUACGUCCUACGGCGGUCCAAUAUUUUGCCUUCUUGCAAUUUCACUAAGGCUGUAGUUUGGGGAAGCGAAAUGGGCUGCAGGGCUUGGACCUCGCAGUGGAUCUCUGGAGAGAGGCCGGAGAUGAAGCAACUAAGGAGGAAUGAGGGAGGAAGCCCGAUUAUGUGGUUGGCUAGGCGCUCAAAUUCAGUCAAAUAAUCGUUGACUAAGUCACAUUGAGAGAGCUUGAAUAAAGCUCCCUUUGGAUCAUCGUAGUAUGUCGGGGCGAACCGUGUCUCCAGAGCCUGAAGGAAUGCCGGCCAGGAGGUGAUAAAACCGUUUCGAUAGGACCAUUGGAACCAGUUUAGGGUCGGACCAUCCAUAUAGAAUGAUGUGACGGUGAUACGCUCCUCUUCCGGGGUACCGUAAAACUCAAAAAACUGAGAGAUCUUAAAGAUCCAUCCCAGUGGGUCGUGGCCGUCGAAUCACAGGACAUCGAGUUUGAUGGGAGGGCGAGGGAGGAAUGGGGUGACGGGUUGGUGUUGGGGGCACUGCAGGGGGUUGUUAAGGUGGUCUAAGAGAAUUUCGACCUUAGAGGCAAGGUCUGAGUGUCUGGAGGGUAGUGAUUCAUGGUGAAGUGUUAGGCGGGAUAGCGCGUCCUCGAGUCUAUCGGUGGUGGUUUUACACGUGCCAUGGCAGGUCGGACCAAGAUGAUAGGAGCAGAGGGGAAAUUAGCAGGAAAAGGCCUUGAAUUCGAGGAUAAGGAGCCUCCUACUGCAAAGGUAAGGACUGAAAUUCAUGUUCUGUGUUUAUUUCAUCACCAAAAUGCUGCUUAUAUAAGUCUGGGUAGUGAUCAUUCUUACUACAAAAAUCCAAUACUAACCGAAUUUCUGCUACUAACAAUAUUCCUUUUAACAGAUUUUGACAUUUAGCUAAACAGAACAACUAUAUUCCUAUAUUCUUGAUAAUUGUCACCCCUGAGUGCUAUUCGCAGUCUGUAAGAUAUGCAGGUCGAUUUGCACUUCUCUUGGGCCUUUCUUCUUGGGCCUUUGUUGCAGCAAAGUCAUCUUGGUUGGUUUCGUGUAUGCUGGCUUGUUGAUUGCUAUCAUCCUCUCACGAUUUCAUGGAGGAUAUUGUUGUUCAACUGAGACUACUUCUAUUUUCAGUCACGUUGAGUGGGAUAGGCUAGACUCUUGAUCAUGGGAACAGAAUAAAAAUAGUUCUUUAACGGUGUUAUCUGCUUAUUCAUUGAUUCGUGCUGGGGUGAAUGCUUCAUAAUCAUAUACAUCCAAAACAGUUAUAUUCUCAGAAGGAAGCAGAUGAAAAAAAAUCAGAAGUAUUAAUUAUUUGGCAUGCGACGUGCUGCGGGUUCACAGAAACAAUGUUAUUUUCAAAAAUGGUAUUCCAAAUGUUCCUAUAGUGUCGUUUUUCACGCUCAGAGUUUGUAAUGGUCUUGGUUCAGGUAUAAGGGAGGGACCUUGCUCAAGUGGGAUUUUGUUUGCAAACUGGUGUUCCAAUCUGUUGGAGUGCACAUUACAAUCUGGAUAAUUCUGGUUUUGAUUGUAUUUUUGCUCCUAUACAGAGAGCUUUAAUUUGCAUUUUUUUGCGUGCUUUAACUGUAAUUUUCGUUCUGGUGUGGUCACACUUCAUGGCCAAUAACCUUUAAUAAAAUUCUUUUUGCUGUUAAAAAAAACAAAAUUUUACAAAAACAGCUUGUAAGAAGAUGAGAGUUGUUCCUCCUCUUAUAAACUUUCAUUUGAUUGUAAGUUGAUGUGAUAUCUCUAACAAAAUGAGUGUUUUAUAUAUCAUAAAAAAACUCAUGGUCCAAAUAAAUUGUACCUUUUUAGAAUCAAUACAAAAGGAAUUUGAAAACAAACAAUUUAUGGCAAAGAAUUCAUAACAUUACAUGUAUAAAUAAUAAAUUCAUAAUUAUGCACCACUCAAGAAUUAUUCUGUAUGUAUAAUGCAUACUUAUUGCAGAACCUUUGCAUUGAAUUAGUUCACAUUCCUGCAGUUAACCCGAAUUUCACCUUGAUUCCCAGUGAGGGGCUGAAUAUUUCCCAUCUUAAUCAUCGAGUUCGCAAAGUCCUCGUAGAAAUCUUCGGUAUCGUCGCUGUAUUCUUUGACCAGUUCAUCAGUAGAACCACCAUUGAAGAGUUCUUGAUCAGAGUGAAGAAGCCCUUUCUUUUGAACCAAAUUAGAGUAAUAGUUUAUGUCAAAUUUUGCCGCUGUUGAGUCCAAAGGAGAAAGGUUGGAGUCACCACCGUUUGUAGGGCAAAUGUAUUUAAGUUGUUGUGCAAAGUUGGGAUCGAUGUUGGAGUCAUUGUAGAUAUGGUCCUUAAAUGUAACACAACGUGCAAAUCCAAUGCUGUGGCCUCCAGAAAGAACAACAAGGUCCUUCUCAUCAAGACCAUGGUUCUUGAAGUUGGUGAUGAGUUCAGAUAGGCUGAAAAAUGGUGCUGGAAUGCUUGCAUCUGCUGCUUCACGACUUGCUGUAGUAGAAUCUCUUCUACCAAGUCUCACCUUCCAUGAUGGCCCACCUAACUGCGUAGAGCAUGCAAAUAAUUAAUUCUUGUUCACAACUAAGUUCAUUAAUUUUUUAUAUAAAGACAACAGUAUAGUGUUGUUCAGCUAGAAUAUUUAGUAAUAAUUUAUACGAAUUUUGAGGAAGUGAAAUUGUAUUUAAACAAAUUUUUUACAUAAAGGAUUUUGAAUAAUAAAGAGAAAGAAAAUAAGAAAUAAGGGAUAUAUAAUAAAAUAUAACUCUUUGAAAAUUAACUAAUCAACAUCAUUUUGUAUGUUCUCAAAUUUCGUUGUAAUAUGGCCAUCACACUUGCUCUGAACGUUACAUAUUUAUGGGUGGGUUCAGAAUCCUCCGGUUUAUUUUUAUACUAUUCGAACAGAGUCAGUGACUCCCUAGACAAUUAAUAAAGUUUAUACUACUUUUUAGUAAUAUACAUUUAUUUGACUUUUAUGUAGUCAAAGUUCUAAAAAAAUUGCAUUGCAUAAUCUUAUGAUCUCUGGUAUAUUUGACAUCGUGAUUAAUAAAAAAUUCGUUAUGGACUAAUACAAUUCAUAACAUUAAGCAUAAUUUCUCAUAUACGAUAAACAUUUAACGCAUAUCAUUUAGGGUUAUUCUAGUAUUACAAUUUUGAAGCUAUAUUAUAGUAUUAUUACUCACCGCAACAACUGAAUCACGAGCUGCAACAGCCAAUAUGUCUGCGCAAGAAACAACUGGUUUUCCACAUGCUUCGUCCACAGCUUUCUUUAUGUCAUCCACCACUUCAAAUCCUCUAGCAGAUUGCAAAUUAGCAGCUGCAUUCUUUUCGCUGUCAAUGGAGGAUGUGGAGUCUAGAAGAAUUGAACCAUCACAACCCUGAAUCAUUGUCACAAAACCAAGUCUUUAUUCACAUCAUCUAAAAAUUAAUCCUCGCAUUUCAAAUGAUAGGGUGUUUAUGAGAGAAAAAAAUGAUAGGGUGUUUAUGGUACACGUAAUUUUUUUUUUAUAUAGCAAAGGGUUUUAUGUGUCAUUUACUGAGACUAAUUUUCUUCGAAAAGGCAUUCAAAGAAGUUAUUCCGUUCCAAAACUCGAUUUUUUCUCGUAUGAUAUGAAAGUCAGGAUUUGAAUUCCAUGACCACAUUUGUAAGGAAUCAGCUUAUCAUCACUCAAAAUAACUACUUAUGAUCAUAUUAACAUGUGUGUAUACGUGUGCACCUGCAUAUAUAUAUAUAUAUAUAUAUAUAUAUAUGUAUGUGUGUACGUGUGCCGUGCAUGUAUAUAUAUGUGUAUGCCCACAAGCGUAGAAUGUCUUACAUUAACAAAGCAAUCAUGGAAGUGCAAGCGUAGCAAUGAAGCACCCAUACGACGCUCUUUCAGUACUGAAGCCUCCACAACACUUUUGAUGGUGCUCAAAGCUUUGGGGCACGAAUAAUCAUAGUAAUUAGGUGACAAUUGUGAGAAAGCUGAGGUUGCAAUAGAUGCAAACACUAAGGCAUGGAGAACAACAAAGAAAUACCCACGUGAUGCCAUUCUAUUACUAUGCAAUCAAUAACUGAUCAAUAUGCAAUAUAGUACUAUAGUUAGAUGGCAAUAUCGCCUACAGGGAAAUGAUAAAGCUAUAUUAUGUAUUUCUAUUAUUUGGAUUGCUAUUGCCACAUUGCUGUAUUUAUAGAGACUCUGAGACGCGUGCUGUGGAAAAAAAUACCAUUUUUUAUUGUUGGUCCAUAGAAAAAUAUACCAAUUAACUGCACCGUAUCAUACCAAGUGAUGUGUGGACUGAGCCCAUGAAAAAGACCAUUUCACCUCAGAAAGGUUCUAUAUUAGGUAUCAUUAAAGGAAUCAAGAAAUCCUAAAAAAACAAUUAUUUAGUGAUUGAUUUAGUCCACUGAGGUUGUUAAUUAAUUGAUAUAUGUACGCCAACCACAGCGAAUAAUGAUAAAUUAAUGAUGUAAAUGGACAAUAUACAUGCAUGGGAUACAUAUCCUUUUCGACUAAAUCAAUUCCGAGUAUUAUAUGUUGUAUAUUCACAGCGUAAGCAAUUACGAAUCCUAGUUAUCAAUCAGGUUAACCUUUUUUCUUCUUCUUCUUCUGAAUUAUUAAUCAAGUCAACUAGUUGUAGUCAUUUUUAUUGUAAGCAGAUAAAAGUUUCAAAAUGAUACACAUGGACAAUGAAGGUAAAUUAAAUUCUACAAGUUUCUGUCAAUAUAAUUUAAUCUUCAAAUUAGUCAACCUCAAGAAAAAUUAAUAUAAAUUUAAUCUAGUAAUAAAUUACACCGCCUUAAUUUUUGAGUUUUUAUUUUAAUAAUUAAUUAUCUUCGUAAUUAAUUUAUUAACUUUGAUCAUGAAAAAUUUAGUUUCUAAAUCUAAUCAUUCUCAUAACAAAAGGACUAUUUUGUCUUAUUCAUACAAAAUUUAAGAGAUCAAUAACAUAUGUUGCCUGUUUUGAGAUGGAAUUGGAUUUUUCCUUCAAUGAUGCAUGGCUGAUGAUUUAUAAUUACUCUUCUUGCGUGACAUGCUUUUUGAACUUUCAAAAAGAAACUAACAUGUUUUUUUUUUUAAAAAGGUAAUAUGCCACAUUUAAUUCAUAUUGUUAAAUAAUCCAAUUUAACAAUUAUUAUUGUUGACUUAGUUAUGUUCUUAGUUUCUCAAAUUAGAGGGUCAGUUUUUAUUUAGUCCUCUAAAUAAAGUUUUGCAUUUUUUACUCCAUCAAAUUAAAAAAGAUGUUUAUUUAGUUCCUUCUCUCACAUAAAAAUUUAUAUUUUUUAGUUCCUCAAAAUUUGACAAAGUAAUUAAAAGAAGAUUUUUUUUUUAAAAAAAAAAAGUUAAGAUGCUAAAAAAAUAUAAAUUUUUAUUUAGAAAAAUAGGCUCCCUAAUUUCAGGGCCUAAAAAUAAAAUCAAACGUAUUUUAUCAUUACUAGAUCAGAAGCUAUUGUUUAUUUUUUAUUUUUAAAUUCAAUGAAAUAAUUUAUUAAAAUCAAAACAGAUCGUACGUCCGAACCGGUUCAACCAAAAAUUGGAUACAUGGUUGAUCCUGUCAAGGUUGGACUGGAUAUGUCUUCGUCAAACCCUGGUGAUAUCAUUGGAGGUACCUUAUUAAAAGUACCUGAGAAACUGUACCUAUAGAAUUUAAUUAGAAAAUGAAGAAAAAGUAUUUUCAUAUUACUAGCAAUAUAUAUUAUUAUUGCCAUUUUGAUUGUCAUUGUUCUUAUUGUCAUUAUUGUCAUGGUUACGUAGUUAUCUAAGACUAGACUUUCUACAAAACCCAAAUGACUUUAUAAAAUAAAACAAUAACAUGACAUAUCAUCAUGCUUAUGAUAAUUUUUUCAAUCAUUAGUUACUUUUCUUAAUUUUCAUAUAGGUAAAUCUAAUAGGAUAAAUUUUGUCUUGAAUAAAUAAAAAAGUUUCAAAAAGUGUCCGGAAAUUAAAAAUGAUAAUUAAUUUGAAAGGACAAAUGUGUAUCUAUCAGUUAAACAAGGAUGAUGACCAUUUUGGGAGUUUUAAAAAUUAGCAGAAUAAUUUAGAUAAAAAAUUAAGUUAAGAAACCGUUCUUACAUUUUAAGCUUCAAUUAAUUAUGAUAGAGUUUUGUAGUAAUUUAUAGUGAUAUUUAAUGUUUUUUUUUUUACAAAAAUCACGGAUGUAAAAUUAAUUUUUAUUAGAGAUAACUCUAAACUUAUGUUAUUUUUGUUGUUUCACAUUGGACUUGGAUUAUUAUUUAUUUAUAUUUAUUGUUUUGAUAUUAUUCACCACACGCGCUAGCUCUAGAUAUCUGAGUUAAAUAACACUAAAAAAUUGAGUUUGAGUCUAAAUCAACUUGUUUUUGAAUCCAAGGUGUUAAAUGCAUCAACAAGUAUACAACAAAGGUUUUUAUGAAGUGAUUUUGUUAGGGUCCUGUACUACGGAAAAUAAAAUUGCAAAGAUAAAUGGGAUAAAAUUCUGUUCUGCCUUCAUUAUUUAUACAAAGAUUUCUGCACCAAAAAUUAUAACAAACUUUGGCUCGUAGUGCUAACAGCAUGUAUUUUCUUUUAUUAUAAUAACUAACUAAAUGGGAGGGAUAGUGAAAAUAGGCAGUGGGCAUAACAGAAUAGAUUUUACUGCUUGCUUAACAACCUCAAACACAGUCAUUGAAGCGUGUGGGUUUUCUGGUAUUCCUUUUGGACUUGCUAUUGUCCAAUUCCUUGUUGCUCUUGUAGUCUUCCUGUUCUUGGAUAUCUGAAUUGCUAUCAUCACCCCCCUCAACCAAACCAACCUUGUCCCCAAGGUUGUAAGACUGGCGUAGUGUAUCCAAUGGUUCCUGUAUAGUGUCCUCUUGUGCCAGGCCAUCCCAUUGGACUAGAACAAGCUUAGUUGGUGGACAAGAUGAGGAAUCCCAUUUCCAAUCCAAAAUAUGAAGAGGCUCAAUGACUGGAUGGUUCUCAGUGCUAGUCGGAGGAAGAACGACAGGAUAAGUGGGUGGCGGUCCGUGAUGGAGUUUUAAUAGUGAGAUAUGAAUCGUGGGGGUGAAUCUUAGAAGAAGAUAGUAACUGGAGUUUGUACGCGACAUGGCCCACGCGUUCCAGGAAAGGACCGUAAAAUCUUUUGUUCAACUUUGUGUAAGCUGGCGCUAUUGAUGUUUGGCGAUACGGUCUUAAGCACACAUACACCCAGUCGCCUACGGCGAAUUGGCGAUGAGCAUCCGCCAUAGUUUUCAUGGUAGUUUGGGCUUUGAGCAGGUGACGGUGGUGAACAACGAGGAUCGCGGUGCGUGUUGCUAGCAAAGAAUCUACAACUUCGAUUGUAUCACCCAAGAUGUAAUGUGGGAUUGACGGCGGUGGUUUGCCGUAUAUUUCCUCGUAAGGAGAGAUGCCUGUUCCAGAAUGGGUGGAUGUAUUAUAUGACCAUUCUGCCAGUGAUAAGAAGUGAUACCAUUGGGAUGGCCUGUCAUGAAUAAAGACACAAAGAUAUUGGUCCAAGAUGAGAUUCAUGACCUUUGUUUGACUGUCCGUUUGUGGGUGAUAGGCAGUGCUCAUCCGAAGCUUGGUUCCAUUGAGGCGAAAAAGCUCCUCCAAAAUUUGUUGAUAAACAAUGAAUCUCGGUCUGAACCUAGGCUUCGUGGGAAGCAAUGGUGCUUACAAACUAUGUCAAGAAAUAAGAGAACAGUCUUGUAAGCGGUAUUGUGUGGCGGCAGUGAGAGGGCGGUAGCCCGGUGAUGAAGUCCAAAGAAACAUCUUCCCAGAUGACUAAAGGAAUAGGCAAGAGCUGGAGGAGACCUGUCGGCUUCUUAGUGUUAUAUUUUGCUUGUUGACAAACAAGACACUAGGAGAUAAAGCAACAAAAAUCUUCAAGGAUGCGUGGCCAAUCAAAGUUCUGCUGCAGGUGGCGGAAAGUCUUAGCGACACCCAUAUGUCCUCUAAUUGGGGAAGAGUGAAACUCCUGCAAUAGUAAGCUAGCAAAAUGUGUUGCGAACGACAACCAUAUCCUUCCAUUUCGAAAGAGAAGCUCGUGAUAAACCUUGAGUUCAGGAUGUUUGGCGGGAUUUUGACGAACCUCAUCCAAUAGUGUUGUGUAUUGGGUGUCUUUUAAAAGAGUAUCCCGGAAUUGAUCCAAGAAGACAAACAUAGGCACUGAUAGGGAGUAAAAUUGUGCUUCAUCCGGUGCCGCAAUUCGGGAUAAUGCAUCAGCCACGAUAUUCUGAGAUCUUGACUUGUACUGUAUAACAUAAUCAUAUCCCAAUAAUUUAGACAAAUAAAUUUGCUAGUCAAGACUUUGAAUAGCUUGGGACAUAAGCUUUUUGAGGCUUCGAUGUUCCGUCAAAAUGGUAAAUGAAUGGCCUAGUAGGUAGUGCCGCCAUUUUCAAAUCGUGGUGGUAAUGGCGUGAUGUUGUCAGACAUAAGCUGAGGCAACAUGCAAAUGCGAGCAAAGCAUUUUGCUACAAUAAGCAAUUGGGUGAGAAUUCUGUUGAAGGACUGUGCUUAUAGCUCGUGAUGAGCCGUCUGUCUUUAUAGUAAAAGGGGCAGAAAAGUCCGGUGAAACCAGAACAGGGGCCUCCUUCAUCUUCCGUUUCAACUUUUCGAAGGUUGUUUGGGCUUUGUCAAACCAUUGGAACUUGUCCUUACGAAGCAAUGAAGUAAGUGGAGCAACGAGCACGGCAUAAGCCUUAAUAAAACGCUAGUAGAAGCCAGUUAAUCCCAAGAAUCCACGCAGGGCAGAAGGAGUAGACAGGGCUGGCUAGGUAAGCCUAGCCUGGAUUUUGUUGGGAUCCGGAGCCACCCAGUGAAUGGAGACUAUGUGGCCAAGAUAAUGUAACCUCUGUUGAGCAAAGAGGAAUUUGGAUUGGCGUAAGAGAAAUUAUGUCUGUGAUAGUGUCGUUAGAACUUGCUUCAAGUGUUGGGCAUGCGACUACAAACAGGGGUUGUAUAUAAGGAUAUCAUCGAAAAAAAUGGCGACAAACAUCUGAAGAAAAGGAUGAAGGGUGUCGUUCAUAGUGGCCUAGAAUGUUGAUGGUGCAUUGCAGAGACCAAAUGGCAUGACCUUGAAUUCAUAGUGGCCAUGGUGAGUUUUGAAGCCUGUCUUAUAGAUAUCGGAAUCCACCAUUUGUAUCUAGUGAAAGCCCCGUCUGAGGUCUAACUUGGAAAAUUAAGAUGUGUGGCUCAAUUCAUCCAAUAAUUCCUCAAUUAUGGGCAUGGGAAAAUGAUCUUUGAUCGUUAUGGCUUUCAAGGCCCUGUAAUCGACACAGCAGCGCCAACUGCCGUCUUUCUGCUUGACAAGUAGUAUCGGAGAAGAAAAAGGGCUAUGACUGGGUAAUAUCAGUCCAGCAUUGAGCAUCGAGGCAACUUGUGUUUCGAUUUCAAUUUUUUGGAAAUAUGGGUAACGGUAGGGUUUGACGUUGACUGGGUUGGUGUUAGGGGUGAGGUGGAUAUGGUGUUAGAUUGUGCAAGAGGGUGGUAGGUGGGUUGGUUCAUGGAAGAUUUCUGGAAAUUGGGUGAUGAUGGAGGUUAUCUGGGGAGGUGUUGGUGUCUGGUGGGGGUGUGAUGGGGAAGAGGAGAUAUUGGGCUGGGAUAGUGAUGUGGUGAGGGCAAAAGAGUAGAAAUGCUUUGUGUUUGAGUACAUCGAUUUAAUUGUUGGGCUGAAAUGGAAGUUGUGUCCAAAAAGCAUUCGCGAUAAGUGUUAUUGGUUGACCUGAAAGGAAAAAUGACAUCGUUAGCGCCUUAUAGUUUGUGGUGGCGGGCCCUAAUUAUUUAACCAUUGAACGCCCAAGACAAUGUCUGCACCACUAAUGGGCAAUUGGAAGAGGUCAGUGACAAGGGCAAUUGCUGGGAACUAGUGGUGCAGUCCAAGAUGUAGUCGUCAUCGACCAUAACACGCAGGGUGUCUGAAGGAGACGCAAGAAAGUAAAGAAAGUGAGUAACGUGAGACUGGAUAAAAUUGUGAGUACUACCCUCGUCCACUAGAAUAACGAGGUGAUGCUGGUGAGGGAGAUCAUAUUGGCGAAAGGUGUCAGGCGUUACAGUGCCAUCUAUAGCAUGCAAGCUAAUUUGUGGAAUUGGGUAACGGUCGAGGUCUAGAUCUAGAGGGUCGAAGUUGUCCGAGGGUAAGGAAGGGGCGUCAAGACGUGAUGCGAAGGGUUCGAUAUCCUCAUCGGCAAUUAGAAGGUGCAAUCGAGGUUUACAAUGAUGCCCAGGUAUCCAUUUGUCAUCACAAUGAUAAAAGCGGCCAUGGUCACGCCGAAGAGCCAUUUCUCCGGAGGUGAGACGUUCGAAGGGGAUUUUUGGGGCUAGGGUUGUGUUUGGUUUGAGAAAAGGAGAGUUGGGGUUUGGGGGUGCUUGGUAACGAGGUGAUGGUGGGGAGUAAUAGUUUUGAUGGUGGCCAAGGAGUUUGGUUUCCUGGAGCUUGGCCAGGGCUGCGGCUUGUGUCAACGAAGAGGGUUGAAGGGCUAGCUUGCACUAUGUGACACAAGUCUAGGGUUAAACCGGAGACGAAACAACUUAAAAGAAAAGAUGGGGCAAGGCCUACAAUUCUAUAGGCAAGGCGUUCGAACUCCGUAAGGUAAUCAUUGACGAAGCCUUGCUGUUGUAGUUUGAACAAGGUGCUGGAAGGAUCAUCGUAAUAUGCAGGGGCAAAGCGCGACUCAAGAGCUUUGAGCAUGCCUGUCCAAGAUGUGAGAAAACCAUUCCUUGACAUCCAUUGGUACUAGCACAAUGCCGGACCCUCCAUGUAAAAAGAGGCGUCCGUAAGGAGUUCGUGGUCUGGGAUCCCUUGGUAGUUGAAGAACUGCGAAGCUUUGAAGAUCAAACCGAUGGGAUCGCAUCCAUCAAAACAAGGGACGUUCAGUUUCAUAUAGGGCCACGAAGAGGAUGGUGAAGCUGCUAUUGGAGAGGAAGGAGGAGAAAAAGGAACGAUGGUUGUAGCAGCUAAACGUUCGAGAAUAGAAUCAAACUUAGCGUUCGUGGUGUCUUGGAUUUGUGCAAGGUUUUAUGUGAGAGUAAACUGGCCCUAGGUCAGGCAAGUGACCGCCUUUUCCAAUCGGUCAAUGACGGCCUGCUUGGUAUUAUGUUCUGAGGGUGACAUAGGGGCAAGUCAGACCAGUUGUUAGGGUCCUGUACUACAGGGAAUAAAACUGCAAAGAUAGAUGGGGUAAAAUUCUGUUCUGCCUUCAUUAUCAUUCAUACUCCCUUAUUUAUAUAAAGAUUGUUGCACCAAAAGUUAUAACAAACUUUGGCUCUUAGUGCUAAUAGAUUCAUAACAACAUGUAUUUUCUUUUAUUAUAAUAACUAACUAAAUGGGAGGGAUAGUGGAAAUAGGUAGUUGGCAUAGCAGAAUAGAUUUUAGUGCUUGCUUAAUAGCCUCAAACAAUGUCAUUGAAGCGUGUGGGUUUUCUCGUAUUCCUUCUGGGCUUGCUAUGCUCCAAAUCCAUGAUGCUCUUGUGCUCUUCUUGUUCCUGAAUAUCUGAAUUGCUAUCAGAUUUGGGGGAGUCAAAUAAAAUUUGUUGGGUCAAUUGGGAAUCUGGAUGCCUCCCAAAUUCAGAAGGGGACCUUGGGAGCAAAGAACGUGUAGUGAUUCAAUAUAAAUUUGCUUGCAAAGUGGUGGUGGCGGUUUCUGACAUACUCAAAUGCAACUUGCUGGUACCCUCUUCUCAGUUUCAGAUAUGGUCGCAUUAAUUCUGAAAUGUGUAGCCCCUCUUCUAUUUGACAAACAUCAAAUUGGUGGAAGGAUAUUAUGGCUAUUGACUUGAAUAGUAGCUAGUUCUCUCAAGGUGUAAUCCGGAAAAUUAGAGAUUGGGGCAGUUUUUGGAAGGAUAGAUGGGUGGGGGGAUUUCAAUCUAAAAACAAUUUUUGUAACAUUAUAUCAAAUUGCAAAUAAUACAGACUGUUUGGGGGCUGAUAUGGUUGGCAAUGGGUUUGGGAUUAGAGGUGACGCCAAGGAUAAAAAGAGCUAAAUCUUAUAUUUUAGGUUCAUCAACAAAAAAACAUUAUUAUUUUUAUAAAGGAAAAAAGUAACAUAUAAUUCUUUCUUUUAAAGUAUUUUUUUUCUUUUAAAUUUACUUUAGACUCCUCUCUUGUUGGGUCAUGGGAGGAGGAUAUUGUUGUUCAACUGAGACAACUUCUAUCUUCAGUCAAGUUGAGUGGGAUAGGCUAGACUCUUGAUCAUCGGAACGGAAUAAUACUAGUUCUUUCAUGGUGUUAUCUGCUUAUUCAUUGAUUCGCGCUGGGGUGAAUGCUUUAUAAUCAGAUACAUCCAACAGAGUUAUAUUCUCAUGAGGGAAGCAGAUGAAAAAAUUCAAAAGUAUUAAUUAUUUGGCAUGCGACGUGCUGUGGGUUCAAAGAAACAAUGUUAUUUUCAAAAAUGGUGUUCCAGAUGUUCCUAUAGUGUCCUUUUUCACGCUCAGAGUUUGUUAUGGUCUUGGUUCAGGUAUAAGGGAGGGACCUUGCUCGAGUGGGAUUUUGUUGGCAAACUGGUCUUCCAAUCCGUUGGAGUGCCUAUAACAAUCUGGAUAAUUCUGGUUUUGAUUGUAUUUGCUCCUAUACAGAGAGCUUUUGCGUUUCUUUUGCGUGCUUAGUUUGUAAUUUUCGUUCUGGUGUGGUCACACUUCAUGGCCAAUAACCUUUAAUAAAAAAAAAUUGCUGUUAAAAAAAACAGCUUGUAAGAAGAUGAGAGUUGUUCCUCCUCUUAUAAACUUUCAAUUCAUGUGGUUAUUCAUUACUUGAUGUGAUAUCUCUAACAAAAUGAGUGUUUUAUACAUUAUAAAAAAACUCAUGGUCCAAUAAAUUGUACCUUUUUAGAAUCAAUACAAAAGGAAUUUGAAAACAAAAAAAUUUAUGGCAAAGAAUUCAUACCAUUACAUGUAUAAAUAAUAAAUUCUUAAUUGUGCACCACUCAAGAAUUAUUCUGUAUGUAUAAUGCAUACUUGUUGCAUAAUUUAUGCAAUGAAUUAGUUCACAUUCCUGCAGUUAACCCGAAUUUCACCUUGAUUCCCAGUGAGGGACUGAAUAUUUCCCAUCUUAAUCAUCGAGUUCGCAAAGUCCUCGUAGAAAUCUUCGGUAUCAUCGCUGUACUCUUUGACCAGUUCAUCAGUAGAACCACCAUUGAAGAGUUCUUGAUCAGAGUGAAGAAGCCCUUUCUUUUGAACCAAAUUAGAGUAAUAAUUUAUGUCAAAUUUUGCCGCUGUUGAGUCCAAAGGAGAAAGGUUGGAGUCACCACCGUUUGUAGGGCAAAUGUAUUUAAGUUGUUGUGCAAAGUGGGGAUCGAUGUUGGAGUCAUUGUAGAUAUGGUCCUUAAAUGUAACACAACGUGCAAAUCCAAUGCUGUGGCCUCCAGAAAGAACAACAAGGUCCUUCUCAUCAAGACCAUGAUUCUUGAAGUUGGUGAUGAGUUCAGAUAGGCUGAAAAAUGGUGCUGGAAUGCUUGCAUCUGCUGCUUCACGACUUGCUGUAGUAGAGUCUCUUCUGCCAAGUCUCACCUUCCAUGAUGGUCCCCCUAACUGCAUGGAGCAUAUGCACAUAAUUAAUUCUUGUUCACAACUAGGUUCAUUCAUUUUUUAUAUAGAGAUGACAGUAUAGUGUUGUUCAGCUAGAAUAUUUAGUAAUUAUUUAUACGAAUUUUGAGGAAGAGAAAUUGUAUUUAAACAAUUUUUUAUAUAAAGGAUUUUGAAUAAUAAAGAGAAAUAAAAUAAGAAAUAAGGGAUAUAUAAUAAAAUAAUUUAUGUAAUAAAAAACACAGAUUAUAUGGUCUAAAGUGUUGUAAAAAUUCGUUAUACAGAUAAAUAUAAGUCUUUGAAAGUUAACUAAUAAAAAUCAUUUUGUAUUUCUCAAAUUUCGUAGUAAUAUGGCCAUCACAAUUACCCUACCCUACACUUGCUCUGAACGUUACAUAUUUAUGUGGGUCGGUUAAAAAUCCUCCGGUUUACUUUUAUACUAUUCGAACUGAGUCCUUGACUCCCUGGAUAAUUAAUAAAGUUUAUAUUACUUUUUAGUAACAUACAUUUAUUUGACUUUUAUGCAGUCAAAGUUCUAUAAAAAUUGCAUUGCAUCAUCUUAUGAUCUCUGGUAUAUUUGACAUCGUGAUUAAUAAAAAAUUCGCUAUGGACUAAUACAAUUCAUAACAUUAAGCAUAAUUUCUCAUAUUUAUAUAUAUAUAUAUAUAUAUAUAUAUAUAUAUAUAUAUAUAUAUAUAUAUAUAUAUAUAUAUAUAUAUAUAUAUAUAUAUAUAUAUAUAUAUAUAUAUAUAUAUAUAUAUAUAUAUAUACACGAUAAACAUUUAACGCAUAUCAUUUUGGGUUAUAAUUAGCUAUAUUCUAGUAUUACAAUUUUGAAGCUACAUUACAGUAUUAUUACUCACCGCAACAACUGAAUCACGAGCUGCAACAGCCAAUAUGUCUGCGCAAGAAACAACUGGUUUUCCACAUGCUUCGUCCACAGCUUUCUUUAUGUCAUCCACCACUUCAAAUCCUCUAGCAGAUUGCAAAUUAGCAGCUGCAUUCUUUUCGCUGUCAAUGGAGGAUGUGGAGUCUAGAAGAAUUGAACCAUCACAACCCUGAAUCAUCGUCACAAAACCAAGUCAUUAAUUAGCCUCACAUUUUCACAUCAUCUAAAAAUUAAUCCCCACAUUUUAAAUAAUGGGGUCUUUAAGGUAAUAUAUACAUUCAUUAAUCCGUAUGAAUUUAUUUUUUUAGACUAAAGAGUAUUUUGUGUCACAUACUGAGACUACUUGUUUUCGAAAAAUCUAAAGGCAUUAAAAAAUGAGUAAUUCCUUGCUAACUUGAUUUUUUUUCUCAUAUAUAAAAGUCAGGAUUUGAAUUCCAUGACCACAUUUAAUUUGUAAGGAAUCAGCUUAUCAUCAUCACUCAAAAUAACUACUUGUUAUCAUAUUAACAUGUGUGUAUACAUGUACACGUGCAUGUGUAUAUAUGUGUAUGCAUAUGCCCACAAGCGUAGAAUGUCUUACAUUAACAAAACAAUCAUGGAAGUGCAAGCGUAGCAAUGAAGCACCCAUACGACGCUCUUUCUGCACAGAAGCCUCCACAACACUUUUGAUGGUGCUCAAAGCUUUAGGGCACGAAUAAUCAUAGUAAUUAGGUGACAAUUGUGAGAAAGCUGAGGUUGCAAUAGAUGCAAACACUAAGGCAUGGAGAACAACAAAGAAAUACCCACGUGAUGCCAUUCUAUUACUAUGCAAUCAAUAACUGAUCAAUAUGCAAUAUAGUAUAUAGUACUGUAGUAGAUGACAAUAUCGUCUACUGGGAAAUGAUAAAGCUAUAUUAUGUAUUUCAAUUAUUUGGAUUGCUAUUGCCACAUUGCUGUAUUUAUAGAGACGCUGAGACGCGUGCUGGGGAAAAAAUACCAUUUUUUAUUGUUUGUCCAUAGAAAAAUAUACCAAUUAACUGCACGGUAUCAUACCUAGUGAUGUGUGGAAUGAGCCCACGAAAAAGACCAUUUCACCUCAGAAACGUUCUAUGUUAGGUAUCAUUAAAGGUAUCAAGAAAUCCUAAAAAAGAAUUAUUCAGUGAUUGAUUUAGUCCACGGAGGGUUUUAAUUAAUUGAUAUAUGUACGCCAACCACAGCGAAUAAUGAUAAAUUUAUGAUGUAAAUGGACAAUAUACAUGCAUGGGAUACAUAUCCUUUUCGACUAAAUCAAUUCCGAGUAUUAUAUGUUGUAUAUUCACAGCGUAAGCAAUUACGAAUCCUAGUUAUCAAUCAGGUUAACCUUUUUUCUUCUUCUUCUUCUGAAUUAUUAAUCAAGUCAACUAGUUGUAGUCAUUUUAUUGUAAGCAGGUAAAAGUUUCAAAAUGAUACACAUGGACAAUGAAGGUAAAUUAAAUUCUACAAGUUUUUGUCAAUAUAAUUUAAUGGUUUAAUUACUCAUUUAGUCUCUAUAGUUUUCAAACUUAUCCAAUUUAGUCCAUGUAGUUAAUAAGUGAUUUUUUUAGUUACUGUAGUUUAUUUUUUAAUUCCCAAUAGGUUCCUCCUGUUUAAAUUUUUUAACACGUUAACGGACCUUGGCAAAACUCCCUCUGCACCGCUCUGCACCGCAAAAUUCUCUCUGCAUUUUGAAUUCAUCUCCCUCUCGGCCACCAUUAUCGUCCAUUGUUGGGAAUUAAAAUUAAUUGUGAUUUGCUGUAAGCAAGCGUUGACCCAUGUCGUCCAUUGUUGAACCUAACUGAGUUUUAAUAAUUAAUUAUCUUUGUAAUUAAUUUAUUAACUUUGAUCAUGACAAAUUUAGUUUCUAAAUCUAAUCAUUCUCAUAACAAAAGGACUAUUAUUCUGAAAAAAAAUAACAAAAGCACUAUUUUGUCUUAUUCAUAAAAAUUUAAAAGAUCAAUAACAUAUGUUGCCUGUUUUAAGACGGAAUUGGAUUUUUCCUUCGAUGAUGCAUGGCUGAUGAUUUAUAAUUACUCUUCUUGCGUGACAUGCUUUUUAAACUUUCAAAAAGAAACUAACAUGUGUUUUUUUUUUUUUUUGAAAAGGUAAUAUGCCACAUUUAAUUCAUAUUGUUAAAUAAUCCAAUUUAACAAUCAUUAUUGCUGACUUAGCUAUGUUCUUAGUUUCUCAGAUUAGAGGGUCUGUUUUUAUUUAGUCCUUUAAAUAAAGUUUUGCAUUUUUUACUCCAUCAAAUUAAAAAAGACGUUUAUUUAGUCCCUUCUCUAACAUAAAAAUUUAUAUUUUUUAUUUCCUCUAAAUUUGACAAAGGAAUUAAAAGAAGCUUUUUUUUUUUUAAGUUAAGAUGCUAAAAAAAUAUAAAUUUUUAUUUAGAAAAAUAGGCUCCCUAAUUUCAGGGCCUAAAAAUAAAAUCAAACGUAUUUUAUCAUUACUAGAUCAGAAGCUAUUGUUUAUUUUUUAUUUUUAAAUUCAAUGAAAUAAUAUUAUUAAAAUCGAAACAGAUCGUACGUCCGAACCGGUUCAACCAGAAAUUAGAUACAUGGUUGAUCCGGUCAAGGUUGGAUUGGAUAUGUCUUCAUCAAACCCCCGGUGAUAUCAUUGGAGAUACCUUAUUAAAAGUACCUGAGAAACUGUACCUAUAGAAUUUAAUUAGAAAAUGAAGAAAAAGUAUUUUCAUAUUACUAGCUAGUAGUAUAUGUUAUUAUCGUCAUUUUCAUGGUCAUUGUUCUUGUUAUUGCUGCUAUUAUUAUUAUCAUUAUUGUCAUGGUUAUGUAGUUGUCUAAAACUAGACUUUCUAUAAAAUCAAAAUGACUUUAUAAAAUAAAAUAAAAACAUGACAUUGUGCUCAUCAUGCUUAUGAUAAUUUUUUCAAACAUUAGUUAGUUUUCUUAGUUUUCAUAUAGGUAAAUCUAAUAGGAUAAAUUUUUUCUUGAAUAAAUAAAAAAAGAUUCAAAAAGUGUCCAGAAAUUAAAAAUGAUAAUUAAUUUGAAAGGAAAAAUGCAUAUGUAUGGGUGCUUCAUUGCAUAAGAAAAAAUUGAGUUUGAGUUUAAACCAACUUGUUUUUGAAUCCAAGGGGUUAAAUGUAUCAACAAGUAUACAACAAAGGUUUUUAUGAAGUGAUUUUGUUAGGUCCUGUACUACGGGAAAUAUAACUGCAAAGAUAAAUGGGAUAAAAUUAUGUUCUGCCUUUAUUAUCAUUCAUACUCCUUUAUUUAUACAAAGAUUUUUGCACCAAAACUUAUAACAAACUUAUGGCUCACAGUGCCAACACAUUCAUAACAGCAUGUAUUUUCUUUUAUUAUAGUAACUAACUAAAUGGGAGGGAUAGUGAAAAUAGGCAUAACAAAGUAGAUUUUAGUGCUUGCUUAACAACCUCAAAGAGAGUCAUUGAAGCGUGUGGGUUUUCUAGUAUUCAUUCUAGGCCUGAUAUGGUCCAAUUCCUUGCUGCUCUUGUGCUCUUCCCGUUCCAAGAUAUCUGAAUUGCUAUCAUCACCCCCCCUCAACCAAACCAACCUUGUCCCCAAGGUUGUAAGACGGGGCGUAGUGUAUCCAACGACUCCCAUGUACUGUCCUCUUGUGACAAGCCAUCCCAUUGGACUAGAACAAGCUUAGUUGGUGGACAAGAUGAGGAAUCCCAUUUCCAAUCCAAAAUAUGAAGAGGCUCAAUGACUGGAUGGUUCUUAAUGAUAGUCGGAGGAAGAACGGUAGGAUAUGUGGGUGACGGUCUGUGAUGGAGUUUCGAUAGUGAGAUAUGAAACUUGGGGUCAAUCUUAGAAGUGAUACCAUUGGGAUGGCCUGUCAUGAACAAAGACGCAAAGAUAUUGCUCCAAGAUGCGAUUCAUGACCUCUGUUUGAUUGUCCAUCUGUGAGUGAUAGGCAGUGCUCAUCCGAAGCUUGGUUCCACUGAGGCGAAAAAGCUCCUCCAAAAUUUUCUAAUAAACAAUGGAUCCCGAUCUGAAACCAGGGUCUGUGGGAAGCCAUGAUGCUUACAAACUAUGUCAAGAAAUAAGAAGGCAGUCUUAUAAGCGGUAUUGUGUGGCGAUAGUGCCCCGAAAUGGGCUUCUUUUGAAAAUUGGUCCAUGACAACCAGAAUAAUGGUAAAGUCGUGAGACGGUGGUAGCCCGGUGAUGAAGUCCAAAGAAACAUCUUCCCAAAUGGCUGAAGGAAUAGGCAGGGGCGGGAGGAGACCUGCCAGCUUCUUGGUGUCAUAUUUUUUUUGUUGACAAACAAGACACUAGGAGACAAAGCUACGAACAUCUUCAAGGAUGCGGGGCCAAUCAAAGUUUUGCUGCAGGCGGCGGAAAUUCUUAGUGACACCUAUGUGUCCUCUAAUUGGGGAAGAGUGAAACUCCUGCAAUAGUAAGCUGGUGAAAUGUAUUGCGAACGACAAUCAUAUCCUUCCAUUUUGAAAGAGAAGCUCGCGAUAGACCUUGAGGUCAGGAUGUUUGGUAGGAUUUUGAUGGACCUUGUCCAACAGUGUUGUGUAUUGGGUGUCUUUUAGAAGAGUAUCCCAGAGUUGAUCCAAGAAGACAAACAUAGGCACUGAUACGGAGUAAAACUAUGCUUCGUCCGGUGCCGUAAUUCGGGAUAAUGCAUCGUCCACAAUGUUCUAAGAUCCUAACUUGUACUAGAUAACAUAAUCAUACCCCAGUAAUUUGAACAAAUAGAUUUCCUGCUCAGGACUUUGAAUAGCUUGGGACAUAAGCUCUUUGAGGCUUCAGUGUUCCGUCAAAAUGGUAAAUGAAUGGCCUAGUAGGUAGUGCCGCCAUUUUUGAACUGCAGCGGUAAUGAUGUGAUAUUCUUGGACAUAAGCCGAUGUAAGAUGCAAAAAUGGGCAAAACAUUUUUCUAUAAUAAGCAAUUAGGUGAGAGUUAUGUUGAAGGACCGUGUCUAUAGCUCGUGAUGAGGCGUCUAUCUUUAUAGUAAAAGAGGCAGAAAAGUCUGGUGAAACCAGAACCGGGGCCUUCAUGAUCUUCUGUUUCAACUGUUCGAAGGUUGUUUAGGCUUUUUCAGACCAUUGGAACUUGUCCUUACAAAGCAACGAAGUAAGUGGAGCAACGAGCGCGGCAUAACCCUUAAUAAAACGCUGGUAGAAGCCGGUUAAUCCCAAGAAUCCACGCAGGGUAGAAGGAGUGGACGGGGCUGGCUAGGUGAGCAUAGCCUGGAUUUUGUCGGGAUCCGGAGCCACCCCGUGAAUGUAGACUAUGUGGCCAAGAGAAUGUAACCUCUACUGAGCAAAGAGGAAUUUGGAUUGGCGCAAGAGAAAUUGUGCAUGUGAUAGUGUCUAUAGAACUUGCUUCAAGUGUUGGGCAUGCAACUACGAACAGGGGCUGUAUAUAAGGAUAUCAUUGGAAAAAAUGGCGACAAACAUUCAAAGAAAAGGACGAAGGGUGUCGUUCAUAGUGGCCGGGAAUGUUGAUGGUGCGUUGCAGAGACCAAAUGGCAUGACCUUGAAUUCAUAGUGGCCAUGGUGAAUUCUGAAGCCUGUCUUCUGGAUAUCGGAAUCCGCCAUUCGUAUCUGGUGAAAGCCCCAUUUGAGGUCUAACUUGGAAAAUCAAGAUGUGUGGCUGAAUUCAUCCAAUAAUUAGUCAAUUAUGGGCAUGGGAAAAUGAUCUUUGAUCGUUACGGCUUUGAAGGGUCUGUAAUCGACACAGUAGUGUCAGUUGUCGUCUUUCUGUUUGACAAGCAAUAUCGGAGAAGAAAAAUGACUAUGACUGGGUUGUAUCAGUCCAGCAUUGAGCAUCGAGGCAACUUGUUUUUUGAUUUUGGUUUUUUGGAAAUGUGGGUAUCGAUAGGGCUUGAUGUUGACUAGGUUGGUGUUAGGGGUGAGGUGGAUAUGGUGUUAGAUUGUGCAAGAGGGUGGUAGGUGGGUUGGUUCAUAGAAGAUUUCUGGACAUUGGAUGAUGAUGGAGGUUAUCUGGGGAGGUGUUGGUGUCUGGUGGGGGUGUGACGGGGAAGAGGACGUACUGUACCGGGAUAGUGAUGCGGUGAGGGCAAAAAGGGCAGAAAGGCUUUGUGUUUGAGUGCAUCGAUUUAAUUGUUGGGCUGAAAUGAAUGUUGUGUCCAAAGAACAUUCACGAUAAGUGUUGUUGGCGGACACGAAAGGAAAUGACAUCGCCAACGCCUUAUAGUUUUUGGUGGUGGGCCCUAAUUGUUUUAACCAUUGAACGCCCAAGACAAUGUCUGCAUCGCUAAUGGGUAAAUGGAAGAGGUCAGGGACAAAUGUGUGACCUUGGAUGUACGAGGUCACUUGCCAGGAAGUAGUGGUGCAAUCCAACAUGUAGUCAUCACCGACCAUAACGCGUAGGGUGUCUGAAAGAGACGCAGGAAAGUGAAGAAAGUGAGCAACGCGGGACUAGAUAAAAUUAUGAGUACUACCCCCAUCCAUAGCAUGCAGGCUGAUUUGAGGAACUGGGUCAGGGUCGGGGUCUGGAUCUGGAGGGUCGAAGUUGUCUGAGGGUAAGGAAGGGGCAUCGGGACUUGAUGCGAAGGGAUCAAUAUCCUCGUCGGCAAUUACAAGGUGCAAUCGAGGUUUACAACAAUGGCCAGGUAUUUAUUUGUCAUCAUAGUGAUAACAAAGGUCAUGGUCACGCCGAAGAGCCAUUUCCUCAAAGGUGAUACAUUUGAAGAGGAUUUUUGGGGCUAAAGUUGUGUUUGGUUUAAGAAAAGGAGAGUUGGGGUUUGCGGGUGCUUUGUAACGAGGCGAUGGUGGAGAGUAAUAGUUUCGAUGCUGGCCAAGGAGUUUGAUUUCCUGGAGCUUGGCCAGGGUCGCGGCUUGUGUCAACGAAGAGGGUUGAAGGGCUUACACCUCGCGACGUAAGCCCAGGGUCAAACCGGAGAUGAAACAACUUAAAAGAAAGGAUGGGGCAAGGCCAAAAAUUCUAUUGGCAAGGUGUUUGAACUUUGUAAGGUAAUCAUUGACGGAGCCUUGCUGUUGUAGUUUGAACAAGGUGCUUGAAGGAUCAUCGUAAUAUGCUGGGGCAAAGCGUGACUCAAGAGCUUCGAGCAUGCCUGUCCAAGAUGUGAGGAAACCAUUCCUCGACAUCCAUUGGUACCAGCACAACGUCGGGCCCUCCAUGUAAAAAGAGGGGACUGUAAGGCGUUCAUGGUCUGGGAUCCCUUGGUAGUCAAAGAACUGCGAAGCUUUGAAGAUCCAACCAAUGGGAUCAUGUCCAUCAAAACGUGGCACGUCCAGUUUCAUAUGGGGCCGCGGAGAGGAUGGUGAAGCUAGUAUUGAAGAGGAAGGAGGAGAAAGAGGAAUGGUGGUCAUAGCAUAUAAAUGGAAUUGAACUUAGCGUUCGUGGUGUCUUGGAUUUGUGCAAGGUUUUGUGUAAGAGUAGACUAGCCCUAGGUCAGGCAAGUGACCGCCUCUUCCAAUCGGUCAAUGACGGCCUGCUUGGUAUUAUGUUCUGAGGGCGACAUAGGGGUAGGUCGGACCAAUUGUUAGGGUCCUAUACUACGGGAAAGAAAACUACAAAGAUAGAUGGGGUAAAAUUCUGUUUUGCCUUCAUUAUCAUUCAUACUCCCUUAUUUAUACAAAGAUUGCUGCACCAAAAGUUAUAACAAACUUUGGCUCGUAGUGCUAACAGAUUCAUAACAACAUGUAUUUUCUUUUAUUAUAAUAACUAACUAAAUGGGAGGGAUAGUGGAAAUAGGUAGUAGACAUAACAGAAUAGAUUUUACUGCUUGCGUAAUAGCCUCAAACAAUGUCAUUGAAGCGUGUGGGUUUUCUUGUAUUCCUUCUGGGCUUGCUAUGGUCCAAAUCCUUGCUCCUCUUUUGCUCUUCUUGUUCCUGGAUUUCUGAAUUGCUAUCAGAUUUGGGGGAGUCAAAUAAAAUUUGUUGGGUCAAUUGGGAAUUUGGAUGCCUCCCAAAUUCAGAAGGGGACCUGGGAGCAAAGAACUUGUAGUGAUUCAAUAUAAGUUUGCUUGCAAAGUGGCAGUGGCGGUUUUUGACAUACUCAAAUGCAAUUUGCUGGUACCCUCUUCUCAGUUUCAGAUAUGAUCGCAUUAAUUAAUUCUGAAAUGUGUAGCCCUUCUUCUAUUUGACAAACGUCGAAUUAAUGGAAGGAUAUUAUUGCUAUUGACUUGAAUAGUAGCUAGUUCUCUGAUGGUGUAAUCCGGGAAAUUGGAGAUUGGGGCAGUUUUUGGAAGAAUAGAUGGGUGGGGAAUUUCAAUCUAAAAACAUUUUUUGCAACAUUAUAUCAAAUUGCAAAUAAUACAGACUGUUUGGUGGCUGAUAUGGUUGGCAAUGGGUUUGGGAUUAGAGGUGACGCCUUUGGAGCCUAGUCGGUCCAAGGAUAAAAAGAGCUAAAUCUUAUAUUUUAGGUUUAUCAACAAAAAAAUAUUAUUAAUUUUUAUAAAGGAAGAAAAAGUAACAUAUAAUUCUUUCUUUUAAAGUAAUUUUUUUCCCUUUAAAUUUACUUUAGACUCCUCUCUUGUUGGGUCAUGGGAGGAGGAUAUUGUUGUUCAACUGAGACAACUUCUAUCUUCAGUCAAGUUUAGUGGGAUAGGCUAGAUGAAACGUAUAAUUGGUAUUGAUAGCAGAAAAUAGUGUUUAUAACAACAAGGAACGAUGUUCACAACAAAAUCGAAAAUAGCUAUAGUGUUUCAGCAAAAGGAACGAGCGAAAUCAACAACACAGAGUCAGCGUUCUUUAACUAAACCAUCACAGGUUCAGAAUAGCACCUGAGAUUAAGGAGAGUAUAAAGGUUGGGAGAAGGUGCAGAGAAGAAGGAAUUAACAGAAGGAUCAGAGAAGCAAACAGGAAGAGUGUUCACCUUCAACAUAACCUAGAAUGAGUAUUUACGCAAUCUUAUAUUCUCCCUCCUAACACGUGCGUUUUUUUUUACCCCCACAUGCAGAUCAUCAGCCACGUGUCCUUCAUUUGUAACUGACUAACGCGCCAAUUUUCCUUCCUGCUUCCCGCAUGUUACACUAGACUCUGGAUCAUGGGAACAGAAUAAUACUAGUUUUUUCACGGUGUUAUCUGCUUAUUCAUUGAUUCGUGCCGGGCUGAAUGCUUUAUAAUCAGAUACAUCCAACACAGUUAUAUAUAUUCUCAUGAGGGAAGCAGAUGAAAAACUUCAUAAGUAUUAAUUAUUUGGCAAGCGACGUGCUGUAGGUUCAGAGAAACAAUGUUAUUUUCAAAAAUAAUAUUCCAGAUGUUCCUAUAGUGUCCUUUUUCACGCUCAGAGUUUGUUAUGGUCUUGGUUCAGGUAUAAGGGAGGGACCUUGCUCGAGUGGGAUUUUGCUGGCGAACUGGUCUUCCAAUCCGUUGGAGUGCCUAUUACAAUCUGGAUAAUUCUGGUUUUGAUUGUAUUUGCUCCUAUACAGAGAGCUUUUGCAUUUUUUUGCGUGCUUUAAUUGUAAUUUUCGUGCUGGUGUGGUCACACUUCAUGGCCAAUAACCUUUAAUAAAAUUCUUUUUGCUGUUAAAAAAAAUACCUUGUAAGAAGAUGAGAGUUGUUCCUCCUCUUAUAAACUUUCAAUUCAUUUGUUAUAUCAUUACUUGAUGUGAUAUGUAUAGCAAAAUGAGUGUUUUAUAUAUUAUAAAAAAACUCAUGGUUCAAAUAAAUUUUACCUUUUUAGAAUCAAUGCAAAAGGAAUUUGAAAACAAACAAUUUAUGGCAAAGAAUUCAUACCAUUACAUGUAUAAAUAAUAAAUUCUUAAUUGUGCACCAGUCAAGAAUUAUUCUGUAUGUAUAAUGCAUACUUAUUGCAUAAUUUAUGCAAUGAAUUAGUUCACAUUCCUGCAGUUAACCCGAAUUUCACCUUGAUUCCCGGUGAGGGGCUGAAUAUUUCCCAUCUUAAUCAUCGAGUUCGCAAAGUCCUCGUAGAAAUCUUCGGUAUCGUCGCUGUAUUCUUUGACCAGUUCAUCAGUAGAACCACCAUUGAAGAGUUCUUGAUCAGAGUGAAGAAGCCCUUUCUUUUGAACCAAAUUAGAGUAAUAGUUUAUGUCAAAUUUUGCCGCUGUUGAGUCCAAAGGAGAAAGGUUGGAAUCACCACCGUUUGUAGGGCAAAUGUAUCUAAGUUGUUGUGCAAAGUUGGGAUCGAUGUUGGAGUCAUUGUAGAUAUGGUCCUUAAAUGUAACACAACGUGCAAAUCCAAUGCUGUGGCCUCCAGAAAGAACAACAAGGUCCUUCUCAUCAAGACCAUGGUUCUUGAAGUUGGUGAUGAGUUCAGAUAAGCUGAAAAAUGGUGCUGGAAUGCUUGCAUCUGCUGCUUCACGACUUGCUGUAGUAGAGUCUCUUCUGCCAAG